GUGCAGGCAAAUCUCGCCCCCUCUUCUCCACGCCUCCGCCGUCGACACGCCGCCCCCGGAGUGCGCCAUUCCUGGCGACGAGGACGGCGGUUGCCUCAGGCCGCGGCGCGCGCGGCGCCAACCUUCCUCUCCCCCCUCUGCGCCCUGCAUGCCGAGGAGGACGGCAACAAGAUGGGGGCAGAUCUACCAUUGCCUGCUUCAGAGAUUCCCACCUGCAGCUUUUCUGGAUUUCACGACACCUCCUCAAAAAUCAAUGUAUUUGCGUGGGACAGAGGAGAGCAAGUGAAAAUACUCCCCACCUUCUCUGCAUCGUCUUGCCAACUCUGGGCAGUUCCUCACAUAGAGACACCUCAGCUUGGCAAGAUUUCCAAGGUUUGGAGGCAGUGUCACCACGCUUCGGCAACCUUUAAUCCACAAUUUCUCCAGGGACAGCGGAAGGGUUUCCUCCUCACAGGAUGAAGUGUUGCCCUCCAGGUUCACACAAUUUCCGAUGUACAUAAUGCGGAGGCGAUCCAAGCACCGUAGCUCCUCUGUUGGCCAGCGGACAAGAUUGCUGCAACUGUCAAUCGUCAGCUGUUCCACCAACGAAAAGCACUUCCAAAACAUAAGAUGUGAUCUGGACAAUCCGGAGCUUCUGACCAAGCUGUUGGGGCCUUCUAGAUCUAAAUACUUCAGUUUUUCAAGAGGUAUUUGACUUUGGUUUUGCUGGGCAUCUACAGGCAACAUGGGUAUGUCUUCUGGAGACCCAAGAGUUAAGCUGAGGAGAAAUGGCCAGGAGCCCAGACGGAUGCCCAUAAACACUAAACCGACUGCAGUAUUGUGAACCCCAACCAUUUUCAACAUCCUGAUAAUGGGGAUCACCGGAAUACAUGCAAGCUUGGGGCAAUUUUUGAUCUCUAGCUCUUCAAGCACCCGGAAUGUUACCAGGUUAUUACUAGGCUCUCCCACACUAUUUUCUGCCCAUAUUUCUAGGCUUGGUAACCUAAUUAACCUCAUCUUCUUCAACCUUGGAAAAAUUUGAAGAGGGGUAAUGCAUCCUCCGGCUUUGACAUCAAGGUUAUUACAUAAUGUGGUCAGGUUAUCCAUCUUCUGCAAGGACAAAAUUUUCAGAGAGACCGAGAACCAUAUGACAGGUUUGGUAACUUUAUCAAACACAGCUUCUUCAACCUUGGGAAAAUUUGCAGAGGGGUAAUGCGUCCUCCACCUUCCACAUCAAGGUUAUUACAUAAUGUUGUCAGGUUAUCCAUGUUAUAUAAGGACAAAAUCUCUAGAGAGAAUGAGAGCCAUAUUACAGGCCACCAUAUCCACAUAUCUCGAACUUUUGGAUAUUACUAUGAGGUUCUAAACACUGGAGCACUUCUUCCACACCAUUAGGCUUAUCAUACCUUUCUUGGUCCCAAGAGAACAACAACUCACUUAUAUUUUUCUUUUGACUAAGAUUGGCUUCUUUUGCAUUCUCACCACUCUUUAUCUUGCUCAAAUUCAACAGUUCCAACCUAUUGCUAAGGUGUUGUAAUUCUUUGAGCUGCUCUAUGCCAAGGCCAUCUCCGGUAUCCACUACAAAUGUCGUUAAUAUGUGAAGGUUGUUCAAUAGACCAAAGUUUGGAGACAUACUUCUAAGACUACCACAACCAGAAAGAUAAAGAUGGCUAAAGAAACAGAAGAUGAACAACUGAUUGAACAGCAAAACAAGGUAAUUAAGGAUUGAGGAGGGCAUUCACCUCAACAACGCCCAAUUUGAUCUUUGGUGAAAGAGGAACUAUACUGCUGCUCGUUCGUUGCCACCCCUAUGCAGGUCUCUCACGCAUUGAGGCUACUUGGUAUGGGUGGGAUUGUGCGGUUGUUGGAGAGUGGACAAUGGCAAAUGGAGACAAGAUCAAGGAAUCCAAGAGCUGUAUAUGACUGACAAUGCGCGAAGAGAUAAGAAUAACAUGCAUCCAACUGCUGCGAAGACUGGUUCAGCAUGGAUGGGCAAGACAUUGUUUUCUAUCUAUCAUUUGCUAUAUAACUUAAUUUUGUUCACACUUAAUUUUUCUUCUUUUAUUGGCUACUGCUCCAGGACAAAUUGAAAACCAGAAAUCUCAUAAGUAGGUAGAAUUUCUGUGUGGAA